rnacentral:tRNA from 1 species
GGCCUUGUGGUUUAGAGGUAUAAUUCUCGCUUGUAAGCAUACCAACGUCGCUCGAGUCACCAUGUUCGAUUCCCACUAACAACGCCAAUAGCGGGAAGUUCUUCCCGGUCUUCUUCUGAGGAUCAGAAAAUGUGAGAGGUCCCGGGUUCGAAUCCCGGCAAGGCCC